GAGAGGAUGGGUGAAGCUCCUAGGCGUUUAUCGUGACUGAGGACAAUUCACCAGGAGGAUAUACACAGCUUCCUGAAGCCUCGAGUCGCUCGCCAUAAGCAGCUGGCGGAUCUUCUUCGUUGAAGCUUUACCGAAAAACGCCACUGGGAAGCUUCGCCGGGAGCUGAAAAGAUGGGUGGCAGUUGAAGCCCAUGAUACUAUGUUCUAUAGAAACCGACCCUUUAGUGAAGCCCUGGUACAUAUAUUUUCUAGAGUCUAGUUCUUAAAUGUAGCCUUGAA